GUGAAGAAGGCCUUCGGGUUGUAAAGCUCUUUCGCAAGGGAAGAAAACGUGUGGGCUAAUAUCCUGCGCGGAUGACGGUACCUUGACAAGAAGCACUGNCUAANUANAAACCANCAGCCGCGGUAAUACGUAGGGUGCGAGCGUUAAUCGGAAUUACUGGGCGUAAAGCGUGCGCAGGCGGUUGUGUAAGACAGGUGUGAAAUCCCCGGGCUUAACCUGGGAACUGCGCUUGUGACUGCACGGCUAGAGUACGGCAGAGGGGGGUGGAAUUCCUGGUGUAGCAGUGAAAUGCGUAGAUAUGCGGAGGAACACCGAUGGCGAAGGCAAUCCCCUGGGCCUGCACUGACGCUCAUGCACGAAAGCGUGGGGAGCAAACAGGAUUAGAUACCCUGGUAGUCCACGCCCUAAACGAUGUCAACUGGUUGUUGGGUCUCUUCUGNGGNAGNAACGAAGCUAACGCGUGAAGUUGACCGCCUGGGGAGUACGGCCGCAAGGUUGAAAC
rnacentral:rRNA from 1 species